UGAUAACAUUUGGUAGUUUGACCUGUAU
rnacentral:piRNA from 1 species